rnacentral:lncRNA from 1 species
UUUUUUUGUACAAUUAGAAUAUUGCCCAACAAAAUAAAAGAAAUUAAAGAAAGUGCAUGGGAAUUUGCAAAUAUCAAAUAUCUUUUGUUGGACUGCGUUUAUUCUUCCAUUCCAUGGGUGUGGGAUUGAUUCUUCCACCAUGGCUGUUGGCUCUUUCAAGUGGCAGUGAUAAAAAUAAAAAAUAAAAAAUAUAAAGCCAUAAAAGUUAUAAAGCUAAUUUGGGAGGGCAAAAUUUAAAAGGAAUAAAGCCAAUACGAAGGCUUAAUAUUUAGGACAAAUUACGGCCACUCCCCUAAAGUUAAGUCAAAUUACAAAAAAACCCCUCAUGUUUGAGUAAUUACAACCUUGUGUAUUGUCUUGCACGUCUAUCCUUACAGUUUCAAAUUUACCUACUGAAUAAAGAGUUUUUUCGUAAGAAACCCCUAACGUAAAGUCAAAUUAUGAAAAAAACCCCCAAUAUUUGAAUAAUUACAACCACCCAUCAGGUGUGUAUUGUCUUGCACAUCUAUCCUUAUAGUUUCAAAUUUACCUACUGAAUAAAGAGUUUUUUUUGUAAGAAACCCCUAACGUAAAGUCAAAUUACGAAAAAAAAAAACCCCAAUAUUUGAAUAAUUACAACCACCCAUCAGGUGUGUAUUGUCUUGCACAUCUAUCCUUAUAGUUUCAAAUUUACCUACUGAAUAAAAAGUUUUUUCGUAAGAAAAUAUAUAGCUGAGGAGGCACUUGUAAUUACAAAAACAAGAGUUUUUUUAUUUAUUUAUAAUUUAAUAUUUC